rnacentral:rRNA from 1 species
UAAGGAAUAUUGGUCAAUGGACGCAAGUCUGAACCAGCCAUGCCGCGUGAAGGAUUAAGGCCCUCUGGGUUGUAAACUUCUUUUAUAGGGGAAGAAAUGUGACGGUUCUCCGUCACUUGACGGUACCCUGGGAAUAAGCACCGGCUAACUCCGUGCCAGCAGCCGCGGUAAUACGGUGGGUGCAAGCGUUAUCCGGGUUCACUGGGUUUAAAGGGUGCGUAGGUGGGCUUAUAAGUCAGUGGUGAAAUCUCCGAGCUUAACUUGGAACCGGCCGUUGAUACUAUAGGUCUUGAAUUGUCUGGAGGUAAGCGGAAUAUGUCAGGUAGCGGAGACAUGCCUAGAGAUGACAUAGAACACCAAUUGCGAAGGCAGCUUACUACA